UUCCAAGGCCACGGUUAAUCAUGGUUAAUCUGUCCAUUCCAAGCAACUGCAAGCUUAAUUUUUUGCCCCGCCAUGAACACAGUGAUGCACCCUUCACUGCUCUUCAUGCCCUUGUGAGUUGCAUCAUGCAUGCACCGCGUGGGUUCACUCGGGCCACGCGUAUGUACGGGGUCGGCGCAGACCUCGUGGUGGCACACACGUGGACCACUGGGUAUUGGCGUCGAAAUUUACGAAAUUCUAUCUAUCGUACCUUGUUUCUGUACUGUCAUGACUGUAGGCUCCCUGCUUUGUCAUUCGAAACAUUUUUGUUCUAGAUGGGGAAAGCUUGCUUGUCAGCCUAUACUUGUCUGCUUGUGAGAAUCUGAGAUGAUGUUUGUUAGAGAUUGGCACAUAAAUGGCAGACUGGGUGACUGUCAUGGACUUCGUUUGAUUUGGGAGAAUUUGGGGCCAGGCCUACUUUUUUUGGUAUCUGGACAUCUCGUACCCAAGACAACUCGCGCCCGCGACAUCUCGUAUCCAAAAUUUCACAACCGGGACAACUCGUACAGAGGACAUGUCGUACCCGGGAUGACACUUCGUACCCGGAAAACUGUGACCUGCUGAGGCUAAGUGAGGUUGGGAAGAUUGAAACUUUUUUGGUUACUCCUGUUAACAUGAGUAAGAUGCGUGUGCAUUACGCUCGGGUACAGGAGUAAUAACCCCCUCUAGUGAGAGUAUACUCUUGCUGACCCUUGGGUUGUACUCCAGCCAUUGAAUCUUGGAUAGUGUUUGACUGUUUUUGUUUGCUAGGCCUGCAUCCUUUUUAAAAAUUGGAGGGGGGAUAGUAUUGGGUGGCUGAUUGAACUGUCUCUCAAACACAGUAUGUGGUGGCAGUAUGCUUCCACCAGUGAGGUAGAAAUGUCUUACGAGUAAGACAGUGGGCGGCAGCACGUUCAGACACUGUAAGACAUCCGAGGUAGUGCGGUAUAAAACGAAAGGUGGUGCGGUAUCUGAGUUUACGAAAUUACUAGGUGGUGCGGUAUCUGAGUUUACGAAAUUACAAGGUGGUGCGGUACCUGCGUUUAUGAAAUUACAAGGUGGUGCGGUACCUGCGUUUAUGAAAUUACAAGGUGGUGCGGUACCUGCGUUUA